AGAUUGAACGCUGGCGGCAUGCCUAACACAUGCAAGUCGAACGGGAGUAGCAAUACUCUAGUGGCGGACGGGUGAGGAAUACGUAGGAAUUUGCCCUUAAGUGGGGGAUAACCCGGGGAAACCCGGAUUAAUACCGCAUGACCUCGAAAGAGCAAAGUGGGGGAUCGCAAGACCUCACGCUUUUGGAGAAGCCUACGUCGGAUUAGCUAGUUGGUGAGGUAAUGGCUCACCAAGGCGACGAUCCGUAACUGGUCUGAGAGGAUGAUCAGUCACACCGGAACUGAGACACGGUCCGGACUCCUACGGGAGGCAGCAGUGGGGAAUAUUGGACAAGUGGGCGCAAGCCUGAUCCAGCAAUGGCCGCGUGUGUAGAA
rnacentral:rRNA from 1 species